AUUGAACGCUGGCGGCAUGCUUUACACAUGCAAGUCGAACGGUAACAGGUUAAGCUGACGAGUGGCGAACGGGUGAGUAAUGCAUCGGAACGUGCACGAUCGUGGGGGAUAACGCAGCGAAAGCUGCGCUAAUACCGCAUACGAUCUGAGGAUGAAAGCGGGGGACCGUAAGGCCUCGCGCGAUCGGAGCGGCCGAUGGCAGAUUAGGUAGUUGGAGGGGUAAAGGCCCACCAAGCCGACGAUCUGUAGCUGGUCUGAGAGGACGACCAGCCACACUGGGACUGAGACACGGCCCAGACUCCUACGGGAGGCAGCAGUGGGGAAUUUUGGACAAUGGGCGAAAGCCUGAUCCAGCAAUGCCGCGUGCAGGAAGAAGGCCUUCGGGUUGUAAACUGCUUUUGUACGGAGCGAAAAGGUCCUUUCUAAUACAAGGGGCUCAUGACGGUACCGUAAGAAUAAGCACCGGCUAACUACGUGCCAGCCGCCGCAGUAACAC
rnacentral:rRNA from 1 species